rnacentral:rRNA from 1 species
UACGGAGGGUGCAAGCGUUAAUCGGAAUUACUGGGCGUAAAGCGUGCGCAGGCGGUUUGUUAAGUCCGUUGUGAAAGCCCCGAGCUCAACUUGGGAAUUGCAGUGGAUACUGGCAGGCUGGAGUACGGUAGAGGAAGGUGGAAUUCCCGGUGUAGCAGUGAAAUGCGUAGAGAUCGGGAGGAACACCAGUGGCGAAGGCGGCUACCUGGACCAGCACUGACACUGAAGCACGAAAGCGUGGGGAGCAAACAGG